rnacentral:lncRNA from 1 species
CCUUUACAUUCAACAAGCCUACUAUAUAUUUGGACAAUCUGCUGUGUGUAUGUUUCUGCUGCAAUGUUCUGUUCAUGAUAUGAUUGUGACAAGACAAAUUUAAAUGGACAGUUACAAUAAUCCAUUACCAUUUAUUUUCAGAAAUUUUAGCAGAUGUGUGUUUUUUGCAUAGCCUUUUCAUAACAAAACAGAUUCAUAAUCUUAUGCUCCCCUGCAGGCAAAGACUUUCUGUCUGAAAAACAUCACUGGCUUCUAAUUGGAGAAGCAGGCAGAAAAGAGAGGAACAUUUUAAUUACCUUUCGUAAAAUACUGCAUUGCAAAAGUCAGUUGAGACGUUUCUGUGACAUGAGGUGUAUAGAACAGGUACGCUAUUACAACCCUAGCAUGAUUUGUGUUCAACUUUAAAUCAAGAUUGCAAUCACUUGCACUUAAAGGACAUGUAGAUAUGGCACUUAGGUACAUGGCUUAGUCAUGAAAUUGGCAGUGCUGAGUUAAUGGCUGAAGUUGAAGAACUUUAAAAAGUGUCUUCCAUCCUAAAAUAUUCUAUGGUUCUAUGACUUGAUUACAGCUAGUAGCAUUCCAGAGUAGCAAUCUUACCUCUAACAGUUACAAGGAUUUACAGAAAUUUUCUUGGGUUGUGUUACUGUUUAAGAUGAUCAAGACUGGAGGAGUUUCUCAGUGCACGGAAAUACAAGUUUCCCUGGGAUGUCACGAAGGUGCACUAACUCACAGCGUAAGUAGAAUGCCUUAAAUCAGGGAGUAACUUGAAAUGGUUUAAACCAACUUUAUGUAUGUGACAUACAAAUAUCUAGAUCAUAAACCUGUAUGAUUGUAUGCUCCUCAAUACCUAACAUAUAUCUGUAUGAUACACAGGUAAACUAAGUUUAUAUUAGGAAAAAAGGCUAAAGCGGUAAAUAUCAGCUAAAACAACAGGCAAUGCACUGACAUUUAGCAUAAUUUAAAAUGCAAGAAGAAAAAAAUCUACUUAAAACUCAGUCGAAGCAGAGCAAAUAUUUGAAAUUCUGUUCUAUACAGUAGUCUCCUUUAAAGGCUUAAAUGGAUAUUCCUAUGAAUUAGAAGUAAAAAUGAGUACUUAGUUAAAAUGUACAGUCAAAUUGUCAGUUGUCAUUGCAUCAUAAUAUAAAAUGAAUUAGCAUUUCACCAUUUUGGCAUAGCCUUCCUAAUUCCUAGAUUUUUUAAACUGACACAGAUGUCUAUAGAAAAUGAUUCAUGCUAGGCAGUGGCAUAUGAGCUGUAAUGGACA